rnacentral:misc_RNA from 1 species
GAUGAAGAACGCAGCGAAAUGCGAUACGUAAUGUGAAUUGCAGAAUUCAGUGAAUCAUCGAGUCUUUGAACGCACAUUGCGCCCCCUGGUAUUCCGGGGGGCAUGCCUGUCCGAGCGUCAUUGCUGCCCUCAAGCACGGCUUGUGUGUUGGGCCUCCGUCCUCCUCCCGGGGGACGGGCCCGAAAGGCAGCGGCGGCACCGCGUCCGGUCCUCGAGCGUAUGGGGCUUCGUCACCCGCUCUUGUAGGGCCGGUCGGCGCUUGCCGACACAUCAAUCUUUUUUCCAGGUUGACCUCGGAUCAGGUAGGGAUACCCGCUGAACUUAAGCAUAUCAAUAAGCGGAGGA